GCCUCUAUAGCUCAGUGGUAGAGCGCUUGACGUAUGUUCUGUCUUCAUCUGUAAAAUCUGCAUGAGUAAUUUGACUAAUAUUUAACUAGUUGUAUGUGACAUCAAGAGGUCCGUGGUUCAAUCCCGCGUGGAGGCA